UGCUGUAAAUUUACAGCCAAUUUUCAACAGUAAAAUGCUAUUUUCAUGUUUAACAGUUUAGUAUUGCAGUUAGCAAUGCAUUGUGGGCUUCUUAACUUGGAGCAACAGUAUAGAAGUUGUAAACAGUAUGCAACUGUUUUAAAUUACUGGACACUACAGUAUUUUUGAAAAUUUACCAGAAGAAACACGACACGAUGCAACAGGACACACAAUUGGUCUUCAUCACCAACACUUUGGUCUUGCAUCUAAACUACGAGCUCCCUGCUAGCUCUCCCUCCCUCCUGCUAAAAACAUACAGCACGCUAGCCUGGAGUCAGCAUCGCUGGAGAGAGGUCCUUUGCUGAUUUUUUGGUUCUACUCUGGUGUAUGCCACAGCAGCUGACAUUGAGGCAACUCUUAGCCUUCCUGCAAGUCCUUGGCUGAUACUUCAUGCUAUACAUUUCAUUUAGAUCCUUUGAUAGACACAUUAUAAAGCAUAUUGGUCUUUCAUCUUGAGUUAACAAAUGUUUAUAUAAGGUGAGAUACAUUCUCAUGUUUCUAUGACUUGAAGUUCCAGGUGGAACAGGGCAAGUCACAGUUGGAGGAUUGCCCCCGAAGGCCGUGUAAUCUCUGAGGGUAUCAGACCAACAUUUGCAACAGGACUUGCUGCUGUGUUUGCAAUCUACUACAUAUUCAACCUUCAGUAUCAAGAUGAGGCAGCCUGUACUCUUGAAUUCAGUCAGAGAGAGAGGGACAAAGGCCAAAAGAGGCAAGAUUGUCUCCAAGAAGAAAGGUGUGAUCGUCCAGAAGAAGUCUUCUGCAGUCAACACACGAGUCCAUGCUACUGAAGAACCUCCUUGACUUUGAAUGGGACUUCAUAUAGAUCAGUGAGUUCUCCUUAACUUGCUCUCUGUCAAUGUGUUGUUUUGACAGUCUGGCAUUGUCACAUUAAACAAGAGAACUGGUAUUAUUAGCUUUAUAGGCUUUAUUAGUUUGAAGAGUAUGUUGUUCAUUCCUGAUUGUAUAAUAUUUGUUUGUCAUUGUUUGACAGUGGCAACACUAGAAUAAUGCUACAGAGGAACUAACAAACUGAUGUUCGUCCCUCCUGGAUCCACAAGACUUGAAUCAGGGCCGUUCACAUCCACCCAGACUCCCACCGGAACUAAGAAGUAAAAACACAAACCUACCUCACAGGACUAUUUUAAGACGUAAAAACAUAAAACUUCAGUACCUCACAGGACUAUUUUAGAAGUAAACUGCAAGUUGCAAGCUUACACUGGCACAUGUUCCUAUAACAGAACAGUUUCUUCCCUAAAUGUUGUUUUUGAUUCAUAUUAUAGACGCAUAGUCAAAAUGUUCUAACUGUACUGUAAUAGUUUCAAAAUGGCAUCAAUGCACUUUUUCAAAAUGUUGUUUCCCAAAUGUUCUCAAUUCUGAAUAAUCUGCAUUUUCACAAACAGCAGAAAAAAACAUAAUAUAUAUAAAUCUUGUUGAGUUUUGAGUAACCUAAUUCACUGGACUAUUUUAAAAUAUGCUUGCUUGUUGAAUGUUCUUAUGUAAUAUUCAGUUCAGUUCAUGGUGAUAUUUCUUUUUGAAAUAAAUCUUUCUGAUUCUCUAAUAUUUUAUUGCUUAUUUUGCACAUUAUUCACAAUAAUGCAAUUGCCUAUAGCCCCGAGAAUAAUGAAGACCUAAUAUUGAUUGUAUUUAAGACUGAUAUUUUAGGAAACUGCUAAAUUUAGCUAUUGUAUUAUCUACUGUG